UAACACGUGGGUAACCUGCCUGUAAGACUGGGAUAACUCCGGGAAACCGGGGCUAAUACCGGAUGCUUGUUUGAACCGCAUGGUUCAAACAUAAAAGGUGGCUUCGGCUACCACUUACAAAUGGACCCGCGGCGCAUUAGCUAGUUGGUGAGGUAACGGCUCACCAAGGCAACGAUGCGUAGCCGACCUGAGAGGGUGAUCGGCCACACUGGGACUGAGACACGGCCCAGACUCCUACGGGAGGCAGCAGUAGGGAAUCUUCCGCAAUGGACGAAAGUCUGACGGAGCAACGCCGCGUGAGUGAUGAAGGUUUUCGGAUCGUAAAGCUCUGUUGUUAGGGAAGAACAAGUACCGUUCGAAUAGGGCGGUAC
rnacentral:rRNA from 1 species